UUCUUUAAAUUUGAUUUCAUGUUGGCCGACAAACUGGACAAACAGUGAAUGAUUUUGUUGAGUUUGUUUGUUUCAGAGUCAGAGAGCUGUGUCUCUCUACAGUCAGAGGUUUUUGUACGGCGGCUCAAUGAGUUUGUAUCACUGUGGUACACGUUUGGUGGAGGAACCAGACUGGAUGUUAACUUGGGUUUUGUCAGCCCCUCCCUGACAGUACUGGCCCCCUUCAGUGAUGAUGAGCUGAAACAGGGGAAGGCCACACUCAUGUGUCUGGCCAAUAAAGGCUUUCCUUCAAACUGGACUCUGUCCUGGAAGGUGGAUGGAAGAAGCAGCAAUGACGGGGAGGAGAGCAGGAGCCCCGGGGCGCUGCAGAAUGAUGGCCACUACAGCUGGAGCAGCACCCUGAAGCUCUCUACAUACCAGUGGAUGAAGGUGGGCUCUGUGACCUGUGAGGCCACCCAGGGCUCCCAGACUCUGGUCUCAAAGAUACUGAGCAGAGAUCAGUGUUCACAUUUGUGACCUGACUCACUGAGACUCUGCUGCUGCCCUCAGUCUGUUCUCUCUCUGUCUCUGUUUCACUCUGAUUUCAAAUGUCAUGUUUUACUGCUUGUAGUAUUGCUAAUGA